UCCGGUGGCUAUGGCGGAGGGGAAACACCCGUUCCCAUCCCGAACACGGUAGUUAAGCCCUCCAGCGCCGAUGGUACUCGACGGGUAACCGUCCGGGAGAGUAGGUCGCCGCCGGAA
rnacentral:rRNA from 1 species